GAUCUAGCCACAAACCAUCAUGAGGUUGCCUCUGCCGUUUGUGUUUGCAACUACAGUUAUAUUGUUGAGUGUUUUAUUCCAGGAAUCUUCUGUCUCCACGGCUGCAGUUAGAAUUCCAGUGCGGCGGAUGGUGGAUGAAGUCGGUACUCAGGAGAAAACUACAAAAUCGCCUUGCUUCUUCAGAAGGAUCCUGUUUAACGCUACAACUGGGACGUACAUUGCAUCCUACAGAUGUUCCCCGCUUCCAAUUCCAGUAGAGACGUCCUAGGUCCAAUACACAACACGCUUCAAAUUAUCGCCUGGUGUAAUGGACUCCACCGUAUUCUACUUCUUCAUCACUCUACUCCUGGUUUCGUGCGGUACUCACGAUACAGAACAGUCACCAUUCUUCGCCAACAUGGCUUCAUCUCAAGAUAUGGACGACGAUCCAAUAAUCUUUCCUGAUUCAACAGAAUAUAGGUGGUUAUAUUAUUACCAGUACCCACCAACUACGCCAACUACGUCCACAACACCCAAAACGGACAGGACCCUGUUUCGUACUCGUACGAUUCAAUGCGAUAAAUGCAAGAAGGUUGACCACAAGGGAAACUGCAGAAGGAUUCAAGGAUGUAGACUGGAUGUAGACUGAGGGAUCCAUAAAGUAAAUUUGUACGUUUUAAUACUAUUGUAUUCUUUCUUUUUUUUCCUGUAGAAUGUAACCAAAGUAGUAAGACUUGGCAAAUAAUUCUAUGUAUCAAAACAGUUAAUAUUGAUAUUUUGAGAAAUAGCACGUAGAAUAAGUGUUUUACUCAAUAAUAAUGAAUUAAAAAUGUCCUUCACUACAAGACAAUAUGGGCUAUUGAUCAUAAUUUUUGUUUUCGUUUCCAUUUUUGGUCCCAAACAUAUUGCGGAAUAUUAUGUUAAAAACAUGAGGAUGGUUUUUAACAAUAAACAUCCACUACUACUAUAAUGUUGUUUAUUAGUAAUGAAUAAAGAGGUUAAUUUAUUACUAAUAUAAAAAAAACAGCCAAAAAAAGAAAUUCACAGGUCCUGGUGAUUGUACUUUUAGAUCAACAUUUUGAAAGUCAAUUACAGAAAUCAUAAAAUACUAAUAAAACCUGAAAUCCACGGUGUGAUGCUAAAGAUGAUACCUUACCUACUAGAAUGUCACACACUUCAUUUUUAAGAAAAGAUUUUUAACUUUCGGCCAGGCCAAUCUUUAGGAGUUAUACAGUUUCCAUUUCAGGUUGGGAAUUAAAAACCUACCCAAAAGUUGUAAUAACUCCUAUUUUCUCCAACCCUUGUUAGGAAAUGUGUGGAGACGGGGUGUAGAAAUGUGGCCAGCACCCCUUCUGCAACACCCUGACUGGUCGAUAUCAGUGAAUAUUAUAGACAAACACUGGUGAAACUGACUAUAAAUCCUAGGCAAAUAUGAACGAACAGAAUUAUUAAUCAGUGAAGGGUAAAUAAGACGUUAAAAGAACACGAAUAACGUAAUUAUUUAAAUUAAUUUAGAUUUCCUCAAGAAGACCAAGAAUGGUGCUUAGGAUUGGGGUGCUAUAUCCCUAAUAUAAUAUCUUUACACAUAAUGUUUUAAUAUCAUGCUGAAAGUGUAUGAUGUGUGCAAUCUCGAAAAGCCUUUUCUAAUCAGUGUUGACAGAAACUAAUAUUGUCAUUGCAUCAAUUAAAAAUCAAAACAUUUAAAAAUAGCUCCUCAUAUUUUAAUCAAUUAGAUUUAAUUAUUAUAUCAAACUAUUUCCCUCGUAAUUCCAAAUUAACGCUUUAACAAUUACAGAUUUUGAAUGUUAACGCAUUAACCACGUUAAACAACUUUUGAAUUUCUUUUAUAUGCAAGAUUUUGUUUCUACCAUUAAUCUAUAAUAGUUUUAUAAAUUCACUAAGAAGCAUAAAAACUGCUACAUUUUUAUAGUUUCAAAGCUGUAAUCUUGUAAAAAACAUUCGGGUUUGCACUAACUAAUAAUAAGUUGUAUAAGUCAAAUAUAUUGUUGGAAUGAGGUAUGUCUGACAUACUACUACUAACAAAGAUUACUAUGCAAUGAGCAACAGUUAUAAAUAUAUUAGUCUAUCGCAAUACUAAAUCAUGCAAAUAAUGUUUAAAAAUAAUGUGUAGCCUAAUAAUGUCGCACACCUAAAAUAAAUAGACCAUGUUUUGAAAAAUCUUUUGUAUUUUUGGGUCCAAAAUGUUAUAAUCGUUUACCCCAAUUCAUUAAAAAUAAUAAUAAUAAAAAAUCAUCAUUGGAAAUAAGAUUAUGGUUGUUAUCAUUAGUUAACAUAAAUAUGAAGUUGCAAAGUUAGAUGAGAUAUAGUAGGCCUAUUGUUAGUUAUAAGAAUACAGUACACUAGGAUUGUCACUGAAAGUUGAGAGAAAUGUUUAGUUUGCGUUAUCAAAGUAACCAUAGAUAUGAGAACGAAGUGCAGUGAUAUGGUUUUGUCUAAGCUUGUAUUUAUUGAGAUAUUUACUGAGAUUUAUUAAGAUAGCAACUGCAGUUAUAGUAAAUUUUGUUUUGUAUCUACUAUCAUAACUUGUAGAAUGGGUAGUAUUUUCUUAUAAGUUUUAUGUUAAUUAUUUGUAUAAUAUUAUUGGAAAUAAACUAUUCUUCUUCUUCUAAAUUUAUUUAUUAAUUAUUUCCCGACCAGCUUAGCUGUUUUUUAAUAUUUCUGAAGAAACAUGACCGAAAACAGCGUACUGCACUAAUUUAAUCUCGCGCAGCAGGAGGUCAGUAAUUGCCCCAUAUUUUGAUUAUUAACGUGAACUCAACUCUUAUCAAUCGAACUUCGGAGUCACGAGGAGGUUACGGAUUAACGUCAGUCAUAAAGGCAACUGUUUUAUUAAAAGGCAUCUCACCAUGCUUUCUUCAUCUCCUUCUAUUAUAUUACUGGCUUUGUUUUUUUUUCGACCUCCAGCGCCUCACCUGCCCCCUCCAGGAGUUCUCAUACACAAGCAGCCUCUUCUGAACCCGACGACCGAGCACUCACACUCCAUGAGUCUUCUGAUCCGCCUUCGGAAAAACCUCCAAGUAAUACCCAACCAGGGAACUCCAUUGACAGGAACUUACUUGAUAUCGCAAUCCAUCAAUGUCCUCAAGGUUACAACAAGAACGCUAGUGGCAACUGCAGAAAAAGCUUGGGUUGAUUACCAGAUGUGAUUAUACGCGAUUGUACUCUACUUACUGGUACUCUGUUUCUUGCAUUGUUUUGUGUUUUUCGCAAGAUAAAGGCCGUGUGUGCUUUUAAUUGUACAUAAAAUAUUGAUGGUAUACACAAACAUUAGUAUUAUAUAAGUGUUUUUUUCACGGAUCCCGACUAAAGAAAAAAUACAUCAGGGCAAUAUAAAAAAAAUGACAAGCAAACACUUUUAUCCAACGCAUUAUAUUUAUAAUGAUUCGUCAUUAAAUCAAUAAAUCGUUUCAACAUUA
rnacentral:misc_RNA from 1 species